rnacentral:rRNA from 1 species
CCUACGGGUGGCAGCAGUGAGGAAUAUUGGUCAAUGGGCGGGAGCCUGAACCAGCCAAGUCGCGUGCGGGAAGACGGUCCUACGGAUUGUAAACCUCUUUUACCGGGGAGCAACGUGUUCCUUGCGAGGGCCCUCUCAUGUUCCCCAUGGAAAAGGCCUCGGCUAACUCCGUCACAGCAGCCGCGGUAAUACGGAGGAUGCGAGCGGUAUCGGGAUUUAUUGGGUUUAAGGGGUGCGUAGGCGGGCGGUUAAGUCAGCGGUCAAGGGUGGGGGCCCAACCCGGGCCUGCCGUUGAAACUGGCGGACGCGAGUGGGCGAGAAGUAUGCGGAAUGCGUGGUGUAGCGGUGAAAUGCAGAGAUAUCACGCAGAACUCCGAUUGCGAAGGCAGCAUACCGGAGCCAGACUGACGCGGAGGCACGAAAGCGUGGGUAUCGAACAGGAUGAGAUACACCUGUAGUC